rnacentral:rRNA from 1 species
CAGCAGCCGCGGUAAUACGUAGGGUGCAAGCGUUACUCGGAAUUACUGGGCGUAAAGCGUGCGUAGGUGGUGGUUUAAGUCCGUUGUGAAAGCCCUGGGCUCAACCUGGGAAUUGCAGUGGAUACUGGAUCACUAGAGUGUGGUAGAGGAUAGUGGAAUUUCCGGUGUAGCAGUGAAAUGCGUAGAGAUCGGAAGGAACAUCUGUGGCGAAGGCGACUAUCUGGGCCAACACUGACACUGAGGCACGAAAGCGUGGGGAGCAAACAGGAUUAGAUACCCGCGUAGUCCCUGUCUCUUAUAC